rnacentral:tRNA from 1 species
GACCUCGUAGCUCAGUUGGCAGAGCAUUGGACUAGUAUCCCAAAGGUCGCGGGUUCGAUUCCCACAGUGGUCA